UUUGGUAUCUUUUUCCUUCCGUUACAACGCACGGAUUUUUUUGCUAGUCUCUACUAUUAAAGCAGGAUCGAACGUCGUGAUAGUUCGACCUCCCCUCUUACGAUCACGCAUAAAAAAAAUCGCAGGCAACAACCCACGUUCGGGGGCAGCGAAAAAAAAAACAGAAAGAACCCGCAUGGCGCACGUUCUCCAUCUCCUUCCCCGACCUGUCUGUCUCCGUCCUCAGAUCUCAGCGCCUCCUUCCCCAUGUCCACUGGACGAGGCCCUCUCCAUCGGCCCUAUCCAGCGGACGGCCCCCUCUCCGGCGACCAGACGGGCGCUUCCCUUUACUCCCAUCAAUUUGGCAUCGCCCCGCCCAUGGAGCUUUCACCAUGCCCGCCAGCGGCCAUGGUCGGGACCGACACCAUACUUGGAUGGAGAGGUCUGACAACGGACCAAUGCGACCGUGGUGAUCUGACCACGGCGGUGGAUGCGGCGACGGAGGUCUAGGAGGAGAGAUACGUGCGCUACAACUCUGAAGGCGGCGACGGAGACCAGGGAGGAGGAGAAGGAAAGGUAAGCCAGCUACACAGUGGGGGAGGUCGAGGAGACGAGGGAGAGGCACGCUCUCAGGUCUCGGCAGUGUGUGUAGGGUGCUCGCUAGAAUUCCCCACUCAUGGAAGCAGGCGAAGUAGUGCACCCUGCCACCGAACAUGACAGCUCUGAGUAUUGGUUAAGAAGAUUUCCAACGCCAAAUCUGGUAUCACCUUGCCCUUCUUUUCUAAUUUUGAAAACAAUCGGAGAUGCCUGUGUCCUUAUCGUCUGUUUGGUUGACUUCGUGUUAGCGUCGUAGAAUUAAACUAAUUUAUUUAUAUGAUGUUGGUCAGUUUAGGAUAUUUAUUAUUUCCUUGGUGUUUGAUGUGUUGCUGCAUACCAGAACGAAGCUACAAAGGUGAACCAGCUAGCGAUGGUUGCAGGGAACAAGACAAUGGAUCCUCGUGAUGAGAGCAGAUGCGUACUGCUUGGUUUGGAUGGCAGAGGCAAACCGAAUAAGUGGGGUAAGGUUCUCUCAAAAAAAAAAGUGGGGUAAGGAACACGCACCACAUGGCCCAGAUGGUGAGCUCAUCUCCUCGCUUCUUUUAUUUUAUUUUAUCUGUGUGGAGUGAUGUGCUACAGCCUUAGUAAAAUAUCUCCAUAUCCAUACUCCUUAAAUCAGUGUAUGUUUGGUAGUGAUCUUUAAGGCUGUCUUCUUUCUAAUCUUGUUAGUGGGAAAAAUCAAGAAACAUUCCCUGAUAUUACAUAAUUGCAAACUUAUUCAGUGUCUGGUGCAGUUCUAAUCUCAUAUUGUUACUGAUGAAGAACUGAAAACACUGCAAGAUGCGAUGGAAGAGAAACUCCAGGGCAAGUGACAACUUAGCCGAGACUUAAGGUAAGCUCUUAUUUCAACAUCCAUGUCAUUUCUACUUAUUAUAUUAAGUUGGAUUUCUAAUACAGUUUAUGUUGUCAACACAACAAUAAGUAAUGAGCUUGAUAACCUAGACCAUCAAGUGCUUUCCUAGAGGAAAGCAUAAUCUCAAGAUGAAGGAGAAAGACAUGCUAAAGGCACAACUACUGGUCUUAAUUUUCACCACGCCAUGUACUAAUAUUUGUUCUGGAAGACAAUGUUCGACCUUGCGUUGGCGGCAUGCAGGCCAUUUUAUUAUGUAGUAUAACUAAUUAACUAUUCACUAUAAAAACAGUGUAUUCUGGGGGUUCGGGGUUGAUAGGAAUAGAAGUUCCAAUGGAAUUUGAGGGAGUUAAUUUUGGCCGUGUUCCAUAAAAAUGUUGGUAGCACUGAAAUCUAUCUUUAGUUGGUAUAACCAUAAGUAAUCACCGCAUUGAACAUAUCGAAUGAAUGUCUCUAUUGGAAGGGGGGUUGUCGGAACAUCAUUUAUUUUCCCACUUGCUGCUGUAUUAAAUGUGUCAUUUGGCCUUAAUUUUGUGCACUGCAUUUUUCUUCACUCCUCUUUGUUCUUUACUAAGUUAGAAUCAUAUAUAAAUCGAAUUAUCUUUGUGGUGUCUUUCAGACCCCAUGAUCGUCAUUUUGCACUUAAGACACAGAACCACCAGAAAGUGUUCUCCCUUAUGUAUCAUGUUGUCAUGGGUGAUGAUCCAGAGGGUAAUGUAGUACCCAGUCUGCUUAAUCUUUGAACAUGCACCAUCAGGUGUAGCAACAAAAAGAAUGCUGGAAUGUAAAGGGUCACAGCAGUUACAUUUGCACAACAUUUCUGCCUUUUGGUUAUGAGGUAAAAACUACAAACUAUUUCUUUACAAAGAAUCUGACCAAGUACUCACUUCCCUGUUGGAUUUCAGUUUCACGGAAUAGAUUAUUUAUAUGACUGGGAGGUUCAAGUGACGGACCACAAUUUUGCAGGGUGAUAUACUUAGGCAAAGCUAGAAUUUUUGUUUGGGUUAGUGUUAACCGUUGAGCAGUUUUGUUGUGUCCACCUUGGUGAUUGCAAACCACUGCAUACUUCAAUAAAGACUGCCACAUCAAUUUUGAUGUGUGCAGGGCUCUUCUACUUCUCUUUGUUCUCAAAGAAUUUUGUACUGUAGGCUGUACUACUGAAUUUCAGGGUCGCAGCAGCAAGGGUGAGGUGGAGUGCGGGGAAUGCAGGCAUAGGCAAGAUGUUGCGCUGAGGUUACCAGCUACACAUGCAUCACUGCCUCCAGUCAAAUUUGGGCGACUGGCAUUUCGGAAAAAUAUGCAAAAGAUCAUGCUGGGGCACGCGACGACACCUCACGCAUUGACACCAAGUAAAACCUAUAUCGGAUGCCAAGGAGGUAUAACGGUAAAGAAAUAGUGGAAGAGAAACGAAAGAACCCAUUUAAAGAUAGGUUGUUUUAUGGAAAUUAUCAAGAUUAUGUAUCCUUGCAGUUGUAUUGCUACUACCGAAGUUCAUUUAUUCAUGCCCUACUUCUAUC